GACGAACGCUGGCGGCGUGCUUAACACAUGCAAGUCGAACGAUGAUCUGGGUGCUUGCACCUGGGGAUUAGUGGCGAACGGGUGAGUAACACGUGAGUAACCUGCCCUGGACUCUGGGAUAACCCCGAGAAAUCGGAGCUAAUACCGGAUAGGACCUUGCACCGCAUGGUGUGGGGUGGAAAGUUUUUUCGGUCUGGGAUGGACUCGCGGCCUAUCAGCUUGUUGGUGAGGUAAUGGCUCACCAAGGCGUCGACGGGUAGCCGGCCUGAGAGGGUGACCGGCCACACUGGGACUGAGACACGGCCCAGACUCCUACGGGAGGCAGCAGUGGGGAAUAUUGCACAAUGGGCGCAAGCCUGAUGCAGCAACGCCGCGUGCGGGAUGACGGCCUUCGGGUUGUAAACCGCUUUUAGUAAGGAAGAAGCGAAAGUGACGGUACCUACAGAAGAAGCACCGGCCAACUACGUGCCAGCAGCCGCAGUAAAAC
rnacentral:rRNA from 1 species